CACGUAGGAGGCGAGCGUUGUCCGGAAUUACUGGGCGUAAAGCGUGCGCAGGCGGCUUUGCAAGACAGAUGUGAAAUCCCCGGGCUUAACCUGGGAACUGCAUUUGUGACUGCAGGGCUGGAGUGCGGCAGAGGGGGAUGGAAUUCCGCGUGUAGCAGUGAAAUGCGUAGAUAUGCGGAGGAACACCGAUGGCGAAGGCAAUCCCCUGGGCCUGCACUGACGCUCAUGCACGAAAGCGUGGGGAGCAAACGGG
rnacentral:rRNA from 1 species